GAUUUUCUGCGCCAACGGGCAUUUACCUUUACCUAUACACGACGAUCUACUUCUCUCUUGUGCUGAAGUGACCUUCUAAGCAACUUAGUUAAAGCAGAUUGCCCUACGUAUUUGCACAAAUGUAGGUGCACGCAGUAGGAAACUGCGUUUCCGCAAUGUUUAAAGUUUGGAAUUAAGGCAUAUUGGGGAUGACUAAGGGUUAUUUUUCAUUUAUCAAAAGGCAUUAUUUCUAGGUGAUUACACUAGUUUACAGCAUUUUUGAACUCGGUAAGCUGAUGAUCAUUUUUGGUGUAGAAUCAUGCCCUGAGUUCGAAAACGCAAAGGAAAAAAAUUACAGUAGAGCGGAAAUUUUUUUGACUUUCCAUACAAGGUUGAUGAUUUGAAAUCAAUUUUUGUUCUAUUUUUAAGCAACAUCGUUCACUUCACACAUCUCAUUCUCCGUAAUCAAUGCUCCGAUUUAGCUGAUUUUUUUACUGUAACUCGCCUACAUAUGUAAUGUCAAAUAAACGAUGAGAAAGAAUUUUUAGAUUGUUUUUUUUCUUAUUGAAAAAAAUAUAUUCCUUCAAUUUUUUUUGGAAAUUUGGCUAAAAUUUAAGGAGAUUGUCCCUAAAACUCGCCAAUAUCUUGAAUUUCAUCUAUCUGACGCAAAACCUGCAUUCAGAGGAUCGAAUGGUAUUGUAUUCAGCUUUUAAUUUAUGGAAAAAGAAUUGAAAUUGGUUGAACAAAACGCAAGAUAUUUAAAUUGUAGUAAAUUCCAUAUUUUUAAAAAUUGCAAAACUCGAUAUUGAGCUAAAACUCAAAACUGUUCUACUUAAAAAAAAAUGUAGCACGGUUUCGAAAUCAGUGCUAAAUUGUGCUUCAAAAAUGUUGGUCGUUGUCAGAAGUUCACGAAUUUCGUUUCAUUUUGUAAACUAGUGUUAUUCAACCUUUUCAACAAUAAUUGUUGAUAGUUUUAAAUAAAUUGUAUUCUGGGAACAGGUAUGUUCACCCAGAGCAUAAAUCAAGGGUAUUUAAAAUCAACAGGUAAACGAAUCUAAUGUCACUAAUUUAUUUGAGAUAUGCGGCAAACUUGUAGUGUAAUGUUUAUCCAACUCGUACAUUUACAACCUGAGAGUAAUAGGGUACUAGUACUUCCUAUUCAUACAAAACGAUCGUAUUACGCGUUGCAAGAAAAAUGAUCGCGCAAAGUUGUACAAAAACGCUAAUAGAUAUGCGCGGUUGCAUUAAAUCGUUUCGGUAUCUUCCCAACUAAUAAUCACUCAUUCAACAAGCACCUUGAUGCCGAAUUAACAUUAAGAUAACAUUCAGGUACAAUCUUUGUUCGGGAUUUGUUCACACAAAUUUGGAAAAAAAAUAUAAAGCAAACUGAUGUGUAACAACUGAACUGUUUGUUGUUUUUUUUUUUUUUUCAUAGUGAUUACGGCGGUAGCACACUGUGCUUAUGUUCUAACACCGCACCCUUUCCCUACGUUUGCUUCUAUGAGCCUCUAUUUUUGUUUCAACACACAGAAGUACGUAGGCAUAUCGUGGCCCAAGUCGACACUGUUUUGGCCUGCGUUGAACAAAAAUAGUUUUAAUAAAAGUUUCCCCUUUUUUCUUUUUGUCAUUUUUUUUUUGUAGUAUGAUCCAUGUAUUUAGUUAGGUUCUUGUCAAUUUGUCAGUUAUUCGAAGUAGAUCUCCAAUAUGUAGUCAAUAAGUCAAUUAAGUCAUUCUGAUCUGUUCUAUCAUAGCAGCUUUAGUCUUUGCUUUAUUGAAGUGUAGUUUUAUUGGAAAUAUGCUGAAUAUCGUUAUUAAAAAGAGACGUCUGGAACUGUGUCCUGCUAGUUGUUCCGUCAUGCACUAAUAAUGCCUAGGAGAUUAACGAAAACACGUGUGUUCGGCCAGAUGUCCAUUGCGUAGAAAGUCAAGGAAAAUAGGUUUCUUUAUUGUCAGUUGUUAUGUAAGCGUCGCUUGAAGCACUUCCCGUGAGAACCCUGUCAUCUGUACACCAACUAAUCCGUAUCUUCGUACACAGCUAAAUACUAUACUGCCAACCGGUGAAAAGCCUAUGGAUACCCCACGGAAUUGAUGAGUAGUGAGUUCAAUGCAGAGAUCCCCCCCCCUCACACUCCCAAAUUGUGGUAGGCCCCCGCUAAACCUGCAAACCAGACCCACUCCCAGCCAAAAGCUCUAGCAGAUGUGGACAAACCGGUGCUCAACGUGCUCUCCCAUAGUGGCAACAUCAAAUAUGUGGACUGUACAACAAUAGUAGUUUUAAUGAAAUGAAUACUAAGAAUUUAGGCCGACACUCGAAGUGACGAACUUUACAGUGCUAGUUGAGUAAAUACACGAAAGAUGGGUAACAACAAAUGUGCACAAACAGAUGCAUAACAAUAUGCAUGCAAAAAAAGGCCGCAACUAUCCAUGGUGAAUUUAAAAUAAUGACAGCGUAAAUAUAAUGGAACAGACUCACCGAAUUUAGCUCCAAAAUGCCCCCUAGACGAUGGUAUUGUUCACUCUUUGUAGCCACGCGUUGUAGAAAAUGAACCUGAAAUGACAAGAAGACAGUGGGCCGCCAAACUCCACAAAAUGGCGGCCCGGAAAUUUUAGUAUUCUGUUUAUAGCAUUGUUGAGCAUCAUAGAGAGCAUAAUUUAUAUUCAGUUUUAAAUAUAGUUUCUUGUUACUAUGCUAAGAAAUAGAGAGAUUCAAAAGUUUUUUUUUCUACCUGCACCAGUGAACUUCUUGAGUGGACAGCAUUCAACAUCUAAAAUAUUCUAAAUUGUUCAUUCACUAAUGCGAUUUUCUUAUCACCCUGCCCUGUCUUAAUUAGAAGAUAUAAGUAAUGCAGAGACAUCCCAUAUGCACUCUUGCAUUACAUAAUAAGGUUGGACCCUGCUGCAAUCAAUGUCGUUAUGCUAUCCACUCCUGAGUUUAUAGUUGCUAUAAAAAUAAUUUCGAAGAAGUGAAAAAGAAUAGUACGAAUCAACUUGUUAAUAAAAUGCUGCUACUAUUACUAUUACUACUACUCUUACUACUACUACUAACUACUACUACUAAUACUAUUAUCAAAAGUGCAAUGAGUGAUCGUUGGCUUCCCAGUCUUGUUAGUAGUUAGAGGGUUAGUAUAGACUGGUAAUAAGCCCUGUCGGUCCCCCCAGCACUGCGCGUAAUCAACUGUUGUUAGAUCAUGCGACAGCGAUUAAGCGUAUGCUGGAGGCAUGACAAAUCAAGCGUUUAAAUUAAAGUCAAUAAAGCAAUGGUAUGAUUAUUCAGA